rnacentral:rRNA from 2 species
CAGUUAUCGUUUAUUUGAUAGUACCUUACUACAUGGAUACCCGUGGUAAUUCUAGAGCUAAUACAUGCUUAAAACCCCGACUUCGGAAGGGGUGUAUUUAUUAGAUAAAAAACCAAUGCCCUUCGGGGCUGCUUGGUGAUUCAUAAUAACUAAACGAAUCGCAUGGCCUUGAGCCGGCGAUGGUUCAUUCAAAUUUCUGCCCUAUCAACUUUCGAUGGUAGGGUCUUGGCCUACCAUGGUAUCAACGGGUAACGGGGAAUUAGGGUUCGAUUCCGGAGAGGGAGCCUGAGAAACGGCUACCACAUCCAAGGAAGGCAGCAGGCGCGCAAAUUACCCAAUCCCGACGCGGGGAGGUAGUGACAAUAAAUACUGAUACAGGGCUCUUUUGGGUCUUGUAAUUGGAAUGAGUACAAUUUAAACCCCUUAACGAGGAACAAUUGGAGGGCAAGUCUGGUGCCAGCAGCCGCGGUAAUUCCAGCUCCAAUAGCGUAUAUUAAAGUUGUUGCAGUUAAAAAGCUCGUAGUUGAACCUUGGGCCAGGCUGGCCGGUCCGCCUAACCGCGUGUACUGGUCCGGCCGGGUCCUUUCCUCUGGGGAGCCGCAUGCCCUUUACUGGGCGUGUCGGGGAACCAGGACUUUUACUGUGAAAAAAUUAGAGUGUUCAAAGCAGGCCUUUGCUCGGAUACAUUAGCAUGGAAUAAUAGAAUAGGACGUGCGGUCCUAUUUUGUUGGUUUCUAGAACCGCCGUAAUGAUUAAUAGGGACAGUCGGGGGCAUCAGUAUUCAGACGCGAGAGGUGAAAUUCUUAGACCGUCUGAAGACUAACUACUGCGAAAGCAUUUGCCAAGGAUGUUUUCAUUAAUCAGUGAACGAAAGUUGGGGGAUCGAAGACGAUCAGAUA